GUUUAGUGGGCCGGUCUUGGUAAGCAGGAUUGGUAAUGCGGGAUGAACCGAACGCAAUAAAUAAGAUGACCAAAAUAUAUGUUAAUAGAUACCACAAAGGAUAGUAAAAUAAUAGAGACAGAAGGAAAGUGGUCAUGGAAGUCGAAAUCUUCUAAGGAGUGUGUAAAAACUCACCUUUCGAAUUAUUUUACUCCGAAAAUGGAUGGCGCUAAAACAUAUUAUCGAUAUUAUGCUGGAGGAGCACGUCAAGUAAUUGUACGCUUCUCCAAGUAAGAAGACAUGAUGAUUAUUGCGAAGAAUAGUUGUAAAACUAUUUGGAAUAGUCAUUAGUGCAGAUCUAAGUGCAAGUAGCAAUCAGAGAUAAAAAUACAUAACACUAAAGCAAUGAUUAUCUCAUCUGACGAGGAC
rnacentral:rRNA from 1 species